rfam:Monodelphis domestica chromosome 6, whole genome shotgun sequence.
CCAUUGGCUCUCUUUGGAGCCAUAGAACAAAACCAUUUCUUUCUUUU